rnacentral:lncRNA from 1 species
AUGAGAGCCGCCAUGUUGGGGCGAGGGACGGCGGACACCGGCUGGGCUGCCGAGUUUUCUGGCCUGGCCUUUUUUUCCUCUGGCAGAGGGCGGAGGCUGAGGCCCUGGGGGAAGGGCCGGCUGGCAUUCGCGGUGCAAUACUGCCAUCAAGCGGAAAGUCCUCGGCGGAUCCGGGAGCCCAGCGCCGAGCUCUCUCUCCCGCGUGGAGGGGCCCCGGGGGUGACGUGGGAGUGCGGGGGGGGGGGAGACGGACGGGGACGGACGGGAUGGAGCGCCACGGAGGUCCGGGGUCCGGGGUCCGGGGGCCUGGGGGCCUGGCCGGUCGGGCCCGGGAAGCCCCAAGCCACGGCUCGGCUCGGGCCCCUCCCUGGUGGCCACCACGUCUGGGCGGGACUGGAGCGGGGUGACACAGCCACGCGGGCCGGGCCAGGGGGCGCCGGGCCUUUGGCCGCGUGCCCCUUCCCCCGGGAGCUAGAGCAGGAUCCGUGCGGCCUUUGGCCCUUUGGCCGCGUGCCCCCUGCAGCCCCGCCAACGACCCGCACGGGAACCUGGAGGGACCCGCACGGGAACCUGGAGGGCUGCCGCCACUGCUGGUGCGGACGGGGGGGGGGACCCUGCUGUGCCCGUGUCCGGAUCCCGGAUCCCGGGAAGGGGAACGGGUGUGGAGCCGGGCCACCCGGCGUCAAAGGGGGGGCCUUGAGCGUGAGGGGGCCUGGUCCCAGUGCCCCCAUUUCCCUCUUCCCUCAGCCAAGUCGAGGCCAAGCCGCCGCCAUCACUCCCCCUCCACCCCGCGCCCCGGGCCAGCCAGGCCUCUCAGCUCGCCCCGUUCCCCUUUCUGGGCCACCUUCUCCAACGUCCCACCACAGCCCUCAGGGCAAGCACAGUCGAGGAACGGCUGGGUGACUCCCGCCCCUGCAUCCCAAAGCCAACGCCUGCUCCCGAGCUGGUCAUCAAGGGACCAGCGUGGAGCGCGUGCCAGAAGCGCCAGGCGCCUCGGGAUGGGACUGCCAACGGCCCCUUCGGUCCCGGUCCCGCCGGGACGCUGGGACUUCACCCCCGGGCCCGUCCUGCCCUGGAAGCCAGCGGGCGGCGGCUCCGGGGAUCGCCAACGCGUUCCGCUUGAUGGCAGUGUUGCACCGGCAAUGCCCACCGGCCCUUCCCCCAGGGCCUCUCCCUCCGCCCUUUGCCGAAGAAAAAAGGCCAAGCGCUGGCCGCCGGGGCUCCAACAUGGCGGCUCCCGUGCCCGGGCCGCUUUCGCUUUCGGGGAGCGCUCCGGCUUCGGAGGCUUCGGAGGCUUCGGAGGCUUCAUCUGAGGCCCGCUGGAGCGGAGCCCGGCGGAGCCUCGGUGCCCUCGGCCUCCCCUCGGCCGGCUUCGGGGAUCACAACGGUCGGGCGGGGCCCGGCCGGGCCCGCCGUGGGCCUCCCUCGGCGGCGGCCACGGACCCCUGCGAGGCGAGGCGCCAGGCGCCCUCAGGACCCCCGCAGGCCGCCGGGAGCCCUCGGGAGACACACCGGUCUGGUGGUGGACCCGGCCCCGGCCCAGCGAGCGCGCGCCCGAUCCCGGGAUCAGGACUCCCCUCAGGCCAGCCUGACCCCUCAGGCCUCCGGCGGCGGGUCGCAAAGGUCGGCGCCGGCCGUGGGGUCAACAGCGAGGGCCACGUCCCGCGGCCAGGGGCCGGAGGGGUCCCGAGGACCUCGGCCCUUGGCCCGUGACGGCCCCUCCCCGGCCCCAACCGCCACGGGAAUUAAGGCGUGGAUCCGGGCCCACUCGGGUCAGUGUGGAGGGCAGCCCGGAGCCGCGGCACCGACGCCAAAGCGGCCCCGUGGCCCCCCCCCCCCCCCCCGGUGCAGGCGCC